rnacentral:rRNA from 1 species
AGUGAACGCUGGCGGCAGGCCUAACACAUGCAAGUCGAACGGCAGCACAAGAGAGCUUGCUCUCUGGGUGGCGAGUGGCGGACGGGUGAGGAAUGCAUCGCAAUCUGCCCAUUUGUGGGGGAUAACCUCGGGAAACCGGGACUAAUACCGCAUACGACCUACGGGUGAAAGCGGGGGAUCUUCGGACCUUGCGCAGAUGGAUGAGCCGAUGCCGGAUUAGCUAGUUGGAGGGGUAAAGGCCCACCAAGGCGACGAUCCGUAGCUGGUCUGAGAGGAUGAUCAGCCACACUGGGACUGAGACACGGCCCAGACUCCUACGGGAGGCAGCAGUGGGGAAUAUUGGACAAUGGGCGGAAGCCUGAUCCAGACAUGCCGCGUGUGUGAAGAAGGCCUUCGGGUUGUAAAGCACUUUUGUUGGGAAAGAAAAGCAGCCGGUUAAUACCCGGUUGUCAUGACGGUACCCAAAGAAUAAGCACCGGCUAACUUCGUG